rnacentral:rRNA from 1 species
AACGUAGGACACAAGCGUUAUCCGGAGUUACUGGGCGUAAAGGGCGUGUAGGCGGACCUAUAAGUCUAUUCUGAAAGCUCCUGGCUAAACUGGGAGAGGCGAAUGGAGACUGUAGAUCUAGAGUGAGGAAGAGGAAAGUGGAAUUCCGCGUGUAGUGGUGAAAUGCGUAGAGAUGCGGAGGAACACCAGUGGCGAAGGCGACUUUCUGGUCCUUAACUGACGCUGAGGCGCGAAAGCAUGGGGAGCGAACGGG